ACAAGAGAUCUAAGGUAAAGCACCUUUGAGUCAAAAUUAUUCCAUGUGCUUCCCUUAUAAUCUCAAAUCCCAAAAAAUAAUGUGCAUCUCCUAGGUCAUUUAUUUUAGAUUCAGAGUGAAGGAAAAAUUUGAGGUCUGCCUGUUCAGUAGAGUCAUCCCCUGUGAUCAGAAUAUCAUCAACGUAAACUGCACCGAUGGUAAUCCUUCCUGAUAAUUGUUUUAAAAACAAGGAAUAAUCAUUUAAAGAAUGUGAAUAUCCUUUAAAAUUUAGGGCUGCAGUGAGCCUUGCAUACUACUGCCUUGAGGCUUGCCGCAGUCCAUAUAGUGAUUUUUUCAAAAGAUAGAUAUGAUUGGGUGAAGGUGGUGCUGUCCCUGCUGGAAAAUUCAUAAAUACUUCUUCCUGUAAAUCCCCAUGCAGGAAGGCAUUAUUUACAUCUAGUUGUGACACCUUCCAUCCCCUUUUCACUGCAAUAACAAGUAAGCACCUAAUUUUUGUCAUUUUUAUAACUGGGGAGAAAGUCUGAGUAAAGUCUAUCCCUUCUCUUUGAGUGUCUCCCCUAAUAACCAAACGAGCUUUGAAUCUUUCUAAAUAUCUAUCAGACUUGUAUUUCACUUUGUAGACCCAUUUGCAAGGAAGAGCUUUCUUUCCACUAGGUAAAGGUACAACAUCCCAGGUUUUGUUAAGUUCUAGAGCUUCUAAUUCUUUUUCCAUUGCUUCCUACCACCCUGAGUGUAAAGCUGCCUGUGAGUAAGAAGUAGGUUCAACAAGGUAGGAAGUGAAAUUAAGUAUAGACUAAUUGAUAGGAGAAAGAGCUCUGAAGGGUAGAAAGACUGAGUUGCACACAUAUUCCUGGAGAUAUGAGGGUGGAUUAUGUGUUCUAGUGGAUUUCCUGACUUCAGGAAGGGAUAUAGGUAAGGGUGAAUGAGGAAAUGAUCUAGGUUGGGAAAUAGAACUUGUACCUGAGAUUGAAGGAAGGGUGCUAGAGUUGCUUAGGUUUGAAAAAGUAGACAGUGAAGGUAAGGAUGAGCUAGGAAUAAUGGGCUCAUCCUUUAUGUGUUCUGAUGAUGAGUCUACACUAUGUUCUAGGGGUGAUGUAACAGGAAAAAAGGAAUCUGUAGGUGUAGUAGUAGAGGCAAAAGGGUACUGAUUUUCAUAGAAGUAUACAUCUCUAGAUACACUCACUCUUCUUGUAUCCAACUCUAGAACUUUAUAACCUUUCUGCCCCAAGGGAUAACCUAAGAACACACAGGGCUUUGCCCUUGGGUCAAACUUAUCUCUUCCGCUAGUCAAGUAGAUACAAAGCAAAGAUAACCAAAACACUUCAAUAGUUCAUAAGAGGGUUUUUGUUUGAAUAGAAAAAAAUAAGGUGUCUUUCCUUUAAGCACUCUAGAAGGUAAUCUAUUGAUAAAAUAUGUUGCAGUUAGUACACAUUCUCCCCAAUAAGGAAGAGGAAGCUUAGAUUGAAACAACAAAGCCCUUGCAAUUUCUAGAAGAUGUCUGUGCUUCCUCUCAACCACUCCAUUCUGUUGAGGGGUCGCCACACAUGAUGUUUGAUGUAGCACUCCUUGAAAGGCUAAAAAUGCUGCCUCCUGAGAACCUUUCCCAAGUUCAAAAGCAUUAUCUGUUCUUAUCUUUUGUACCUUUACACCAAACUGUCUUUCCACCAUUGUGAGGAAAUUUUUAAGGAGUCCAAAAGUAUUGCUAUUGGUGCUCAUAAGGAAAGUCCAUAUUUCCCUACUAUAAUCAUCUACAACUGUCAAAAAAUACUUAAAACCAUUAUAGGUUGAUUCCUUGUAAGGCCCCCAAACAUCUACAUGGAUUAACUCAAAUGCCCUUGUUAAUUUAAUUUGACUUAAAGGAAAAGGAAUUCUGGUUUGCCUAGCUUUAGGACAAAUUUGACAGAAACAAUCAGAGUUAGAAGGUAAAGAAAUAAAACUGAGAUGUUUCAUUGAUAAAAAGGGCAAAUGUCCUAACCUAAUGUGCCAAAGGUUUACAUCUGAAACUGAGCUUGAAGAAAAAGAAAAUGAGACUGACAAUUGACUAAAGACAUUUUGAUUUAAAACUGAAAGUGGUACCACACUUGUGCUAUUCCUAACUCCACUUGGUUCCAAAAGGUAGAGCCCAUCCUUGCCUUACCAAAACCUUGUGCCCUCUUCACUAAAGGCCUCUGCAACAUACAGUUACUAGAGGUAAAAAAAGAGAAUAGAAUGAAAUUAUAAACAAAACCUAUUAAUAGAUAAUAGAUUGUAUCUAAAACUAGGUACAUAUAAUACAUUUUCUAAAAUGAUAUCAGGAAGAAUAGAUAUUCUUCCUAUGUGAGUGACAUUGACUUUGAAAAAAUUAGGCAGAUUUAUGUUUAAUGGAACUGGGAGAGGUGUCAAGGAAAUAAAGGUAUUUGAUCAAAACACAUGUGUUCAGAUGCUCCAGAAUCAAUAAUCCAUGAACUAGAAUUAAAAACUGAAAGACAAGUUCCAGAAUAUCUAGCAAUAGUACCAGCCACAUCAUUUGCAUUGAUAUCUGUUCCAGAAUUUCCUGAAUCUGCACCUUUAACCUGCUUGAUUAGUUGUACCAGCUGUGAAAAUUGAUCAUGUGAGAGGUUUUGAUUGAGUACUUCAUUUUGAUUGCUGAUGUUCUAAUCUGAUUCCUCAAUUUGAAAUACUCCAUUGCUUCUGGUGCGAACUUGAUUUCCCUUUGUGAAUUCAAAGUCUUCUGGGAAACCUAUAAUUCUAUAGCAAUCACUGACAGUGUGACCUACUUUCUUGCAAUGACUGCAUGUUUCAUUAGGGUUAAACUUAGUUUUCUUUCCCUUGAAAGUUGUGUUCCUUUGAGUAGAGUUAGUCACUUUUUGGAUGUUGUUCCCAAACUUUUGAUGUUGUAUUGGGUUCCUUUGCAUCUGCCUUGCACUCCUUUGUUCAAAGUUAUUUUGAUUCGUUACCAUGAAAGAUAAAGAAUCUGGAGAAAUGAGUGGGUUAGAAAAAACUUAAUUCUGGCUUUCAUCUUGCAAUACUAGGGAAUAUGCAUGGUUUAUGUUUGGUAGUGGGUUCAUCAUUAGGAUGGUUCCCCUUGCUUAGCCAUAACUAUUAUUUAAACCCAUAAGAAACUGAAUAAGCCUUUCAUCAUUUAGUGACUUUUCUAAUUUUUGCUUCCCUUCACAAGCACACAAGCGACUGCACUUCACAUCACAAUUAAGUGAAUCCAAUUCAUCCCAUAAACGUUUGAGUUUUGUAAAGUAGCUUGCCAUGUCACUAGUUUCCUGUACUAACCUUGAUAAUUCCUUCCUCAGGUGAUAGAGCUUAGCUCCAUUUGACUGACCAAACCUAUGUUCAAGGUUGGUACAGAGAUCUUUAGCAGAUUUAGAGUAAAUGACACUGUCUCCUAUGUCUUUGGACAAUGAGUUGAGCAACCAGGAUGUUACCAUGUCAUUACACCUGCUCCAAGGCUGAUAGUCUCUGGAAGUGAGAGCUGGAGCAGGGCAAGCACCAUUGAUGAAUCCUAUUUUGUUUUUAGCAAAUAGUGCUAUAAGCACAGACCUUCUCCAUCCUUGGAAUCCUUUUCCAU
rnacentral:lncRNA from 1 species